rnacentral:rRNA from 1 species
GACGAACGCUGGCGGCGUGCUUAACACAUGCAAGUCGAACGGAAAGGCCCUGCUUUUGUGGGGUGCUCGAGUGGCGAACGGGUGAGUAACACGUGAGUAACCUGCCCUUGACUUUGGGAUAACUUCAGGAAACUGGGGCUAAUACCGGAUAGGAGCUCCUGCUGCAUGGUGGGGGUUGGAAAGUUUCGGCGGUUGGGGAUGGACUCGCGGCUUAUCAGCUUGUUGGUGGGGUAGUGGCUUACCAAGGCUUUGACGGGUAGCCGGCCUGAGAGGGUGUCCGGCCACAUUGGGACUGAGAUACGGCCCAGACUCCUACGGGAGGCAGCAGUGGGGAAUAUUGCACAAUGGGCGGAAGCCUGAUGCAGCAACGCCGCGUGCGGGAUGACGGCCUUCGGGUUGUAAACCGCUUUCGCCUGUGACGAAGCGUGAGUGACGGUAAUGGGUAAAGAAGCACCGGCUAACUACGUGCCAGCAGCCGCGGUGAUACGUAGGGUGCGAGCGUUGUCCGGAUUUAUUGGGCGUAAAGGGCUCGUAGGUGGUUGAUCGCGUCGGAAGUGUAAUCUUGGGGCUUAACCCUGAGCGUGCUUUCGAUACGGGUUGACUUGAGGAAGGUAGGGGAGAAUGGAAUUCCUGGUGGAGCGGUGGAAUGCGCAGAUAUCAGGAGGAACACCAGUGGCGAAGGCGGUUCUCUGGGCCUUUCCUGACGCUGAGGAGCGAAAGCGUGGGGAGCGAACAGGCUUAGAUACCCUGGUAGUCCACGCUGUAAACGGUGGGUACUAGGUGUGGGGUCCAUUCCACGGGUUCCGUGCCGUAGCUAACGCUUUAAGUACCCCGCCUGGGGAGUACGGCCGCAAGGCUAAAACUCAAAGGAAUUGACGGGGCCCCGCACAAGCGGCGGAGCAUGCGGAUUAAUUCGAUGCAACGCGUAGAACCUUACCUGGGUUUGACAUGGAUCGGGAGUGCUCAGAGAUGGGUGUGCCUCUUUUGGGGUCGGUUCACAGGUGGUGCAUGGCUGUCGUCAGCUCGUGUCGUGAGAUGUUGGGUUAAGUCCCGCAACGAGCGCAACCCUUGUUCACUGUUGCCAGCACGUUAUGGUGGGGACUCAGUGGAGACCGCCGGGGUCAACUCGGAGGAAGGUGGGGAUGACGUCAAGUCAUCAUGCCCCUUAUGUCCAGGGCUUCACGCAUGCUACAAUGGCUGGUACAGAGAGUGGCGAGCCUGUGAGGGUGAGCGAAUCUCGGAAAGCCGGUCUCAGUUCGGAUUGGGGUCUGCAACUCGACCUCAUGAAGUCGGAGUCGCUAGUAAUCGCAGAUCAGCAACGCUGCGGUGAAUACGUUCCCGGG